UUUCUCAAUUGUCGCCCAGGCUGGAGUACAAUGGCACAAUCUUGGCUCACUGCAACUUCCACCUCCUGGGUUCAAGCGAUUCUCCUGCCUCAGCCUCCUGAGUAGCUGGGAUUACAGGUGCCUGCCUCCAUGCCCAGCCAAGUUUUUGUAUUUUCAGUAAAGACAGAGUUUCACCAUGUUGGCCAGGCUGGUCUCGAGCUCCUGAACUCAGGUCAUCCACCUGCCUCGGCCUUCCAAAGUGCUGGCAUUACAGGCGUGAACUACUACAUCCAGCUUUGUGACUGACUCCUUGAGUUACCACCUAGGAGCUUGGCUGUAGCUGUUCCCUGGCUAGGAUGGUGGCUGCUGUUCUCUGUUGGAGGCCACAGAGAAGUGGGAUCUGCAAGUACUCUGAGUCCACCCUAGGUGUGCGGCACUGUUCCAGGUGCCCAGGAACCACACAAAGAGACAGACAGCCUCACUCUUACCUUUCUCAGCUAACAAUGUAGUUGAGAUAUGGCAUAUACAUCCGAGGUAUCAGAAAACAUAAGAUUGUGAUUGCAUGCUUUGUCAUGUGAUAUAGAUUUUAAGGUAUUGUAGGCUUCUGGGGAAGUAGAGGACAUCUACAAGCCAGGAAGGGUUAGGAAAGACUUUCCUAGGGUGUAGGUAGAAGUAGGGUUGAAGAAAUGAAUCGAGUUUGAAAAGCUGGAGGUGAAAGGUAAGGCCACUGGACCAGGGAACCCAUGUAGGGGAUGGUGCAGAGCCCAGGGGGAACACAGGAUUUGUCCUGGGUGGUAUUAGCAAGUCUCGUUAAGAAGUCUCAGUCCUCCCCAAAAGGUGUUACACUUGGUAGAGUUUUUCAGUCAGGGAUGCGACUUGAGCAUCUUCUUCGUGAGGUCUUACUUGAUUACCCCAGUGUCUUCCCUGACUGGAAUGGGGUUAUGGUGGAGUAACCCAUUUGUUAUUCACAGUUGCUGGCUUGUUUAUUCAUUCUGCAAGUACAUCUGACAAGAUGGCCUGAUUAAGCCUAUGAACUCUUUGAAGGCAUGAACCACGAUGGUCUUGUUUCCCUCUCUCCUCCUACCCAUUUGCCUUCAGCAAGGCUCAGCACAGGGAAUGAGCUCA
rnacentral:lncRNA from 1 species